rnacentral:rRNA from 1 species
UAAGACGGGUGCAAGCGUUAAUCGGAAUUACUGGGCGUAAAGCGCGCGUAGGUGGUUUGUUAAGUUGGAUGUGCAAGCCCCGGGCUCAACCUGGGAACUGCAUCCAAAACUGGCAAGCUAGAGUAUGGCAGAGGGUGGUGGAAUUUCCUGUGUAGCGGUGAAAUGCGUAGAUAUAGGAAGGAACACCAGUGGCGAAGGCGACCACAGGGGCUAAUACUGACACUUAGGUGCGCAAGCGUGGUGAGCAAACAGGAUUAGAUAC